AGGCAGGCAACUGCAAUUACAUUACACAGAAAAAAAAAGACUGAUGUUUAGCCCUAAAAAGGGCUUUUUGGGGUGCUGUCCUUACAGCAGAGAUCAGAUGAGUCCUUCAGGACUGUAGUGGACACUGAAUACACUAGCCUAGCUAUCAAAUUCCCUAUUAAAUCAGCAGCAGCUACACUGUCCCUCCUCUCACUAAGAAUGCAGCUUCACAAUGAAUGUAAAAUGAAUGCUGUCCAGGAGGUGGGAGGGUCUGCUGCUGAUUGGCUGGAAUGUGUCUGCUGACUGUGAG